GCCCUUGAAAAAAUCAAAGGUGUAACCUGCCCAAUGAUCUUAAACUUAAAAAAUAUAACUAUUUUUAAAAAGAUUUAAAGGACGCAGUAUCCUGACUGUGAUAAUGUAGCAUAAUCAUUCGCCAUUUAAUUGAUGGAUAGUAUGAAUGGUUGAACGAAUUCUUCACUGUCUUAAAAAAAGAAAUAAUGAAAUUUAAAUAAUAGUAAAGAUGCUAUUUAAAAUUGUAAGACGAAAAGACCCUAUAGAGCUUAACUAUAAGUUCUUUUAGUUAAAAGAACAUAAUUCUCAAAAUAAAGAACUUGGUAGUUUAGUUGGGGCGACUAUCUUCUAAUAUUAACGAAGACAAGCAAAAUUAAUAUAUAAUUUAUUGUAUAACCUAUAAGUUUAACAAUUACAAAAGUAGGCAUAAUGACCCGUUUUCAUUUAGUAAUUAAAGAAAACGAUCAAUAAAUAAAAGCUACCUUAGGGAUAACAGGAUAAUUUUGUUUUAGAGAUCCUAUCGAAAACAAAGUUUGUCACCUCUAUGUUGAAUUAAGAUAUCCUAGUAAUGCAGAAGUUACUAAAGGUAGGUCUGUUCGACCUUUAAAAUCUU
rnacentral:rRNA from 1 species